CCUACGGGAGGCAGCAGUGGGGAAUAUUGCACAAUGGGGGGAACCCUGAUGCAGCGACGCCGCGUGAGUGAAGAAGUAUUUCGGUAUGUAAAGCUCUGUCAGCAGGGAAGAAGAAAGACGGUACCUGACCAAGAAGCACCGGCUAACUACGUGCCAGCAGCCGCGGUAAUACGUAGGGGGCCAGCGUUAUCCGGAUUUACUGGGUGUAAAGGGAGCGUAGACGGCAGGGCAAGUCUGGAGUGAAAGGCACGGGCUCAACCCCUGGAUUGCCUUGGAUACUGUCCGGCUGGAGUGCUGGAGAGGUAAGUGGAAUGCCUAGUGUAGCGGUGAAAUGCGUAGAUAUUAGGAGGAACACCAGUGGCGAAGGCGGCCUACUGGACUAAAACUGACGUUGAGGCUCGAAAGCGUGGGGAGCAAACAGGAUUAGAUACCCGGGUAGUC
rnacentral:rRNA from 1 species